rnacentral:tRNA from 1 species
AACUCUUUAGCCAAUUUUGGCAAUUGUUUUGAAAACAAUUAAUUUUAGGUCUCCUAAGAGUUU